UAAAGUGUACUAUAAGUCUCCACCACCACCAUAUGUGUACAGCUCUCCACCACCACCAUACUACUCUCCUUCCCCUAAGGUAUACUACAAGUCUCCACCACCACCAUACUACUCACCUUCGCCUAAGGUGUACUACAAGUCUCCACCACCACCGUAUGUCUACAACUCUCCACCACCACCAUACUACUCACCUUCGCCUAAGGUGUACUACAAAUCUCCACCAUCAUACUACUCACCUUCUCCUAAGGUGUACUACAAAUCUCCACCACAUCCUCAUGUAUGUGUUUGUC
rnacentral:lncRNA from 1 species